ACUCCUACGGGAGGCAGCAGUGGGGAAUCUUGCACAAUGGGGGCAACCCUGAUGCAGCGACGCCGCGUGAGCGAUGAAGCCCUUCGGGGUGUAAAGCUCUUUCGGCAGGGAAGAAUCAUGACGGUACCUGCAGAAGCAGCUGCGGCUAACUACGUGCCAGCAGCCGCGGUAAUACGUAGGCAGCGAGCGUUGUUCGGAGUUACUGGGCGUAAAGGGUGUGUAGGCGGUCCUCUAAGUUUGGUGUGAAAUCUCCCGGCUCAACCGGGAGGGUGCGCCGAAAACUGGGGGACUAGAGUGCGGGAUGGGAAAGUGGAAUUCCUGGUGUAGCGGUGAAAUGCGUAGAUAUCAGGAGGAACACCGGUGGUGUAGACGGCUUUCUGGACCGUAACUGACGCUGAGACACGAAAGCGUGGGUAGCAAACAGGAUUAGAUACCCUGGUAGUCCACGCCCUAAACGAUGCAUAUUUGGUGUAGGUCAUUCAGUUGAUCUGUGCCGGAGCUAACGCGUUAAAUAUGCCGCCUGGGGAGUACAGUCGCAAGGCUGUAACUCAAAGGAAUUGACGGGGGCCCGCACAAGCGGUGGAGCAUGUGGUUCAAUUCGACGCGACGCGAAGAACCUUACCUGGGCUCGAACGGCUUCCCAACGCCGGUGGAAACAUCGGUAUCCCGCAAGGGAGUGGAGUCGAGGUGCUGCAUGGCUGUCGUCAGCUCGUGUCGUGAGAUGUUGGGUUAAGUCCCGCAACGAGCGCAACCCUUGUCCUGUGUUGCUAUCUCGCAAGAGAGCACUCGCAGGAGACCGCCAGCGAUAAGCUGGAGGAAGGUGGGGAUGACGUCAAGUCCUCAUGGCCUUUAUGUCCAGGGCUACACACGUGCUACAAUGGCCGGUACAAAGCGUUCCCAAGCCGCGAGGUGGAGGCAACCGCAAAAAACCGGUCUCAGUUCGGAUUGCAGGCUGCAACUCGCCUGCAUGAAGUUGGAAUCGCUAGUAA
rnacentral:rRNA from 1 species